rnacentral:tRNA from 2 species
GGCGAGAUAGCUCAGUCGGUCAGAGCGUCGGAUUCAUAACCCGGAGGUCGGGAGUUCAAGUCUCCCUCUCGCUACUA